rnacentral:RNase_P_RNA from 1 species
CGAGUCGUGCGGGCGGUCGCGUCAGGACCUUCAGGGGUCCUGCCGAGGAACGUCCGGGCUCCACAGGGCAAGGUGGUGGGUAACGCCCACCCGGGGUGACCCGCGGGAAAGUGCCACAGAAAACAGACCGCCGGGGGCUCAGGCCCCCGGUAAGGGUGAAACGGUGGUGUAAGAGACCACCAGUGCCCAGGGUGACCUGGGCAGCUAGGUAAACCCCACCUGGAGCAAGGUCAAGAAGGGUCGCCGCGAGGCGGCCCACGCGGACGUUCGAGGGCUGCCCGCCCGAGUCCGCGGGUAGACCGCACGAGGCCGGCGGCAACGCCGGCCCUAGAUGGAUGACCGCCUCCCGGCGAGCCGCGAGGCUCCCCGGAGACAGAACCCGGCGUACAGCACGACUCGUCUG